GGGGCUCAUGCAGGUCAUCAAUUGAACGGCCCAUGCAGAAAUCAAGCCCACAGCCUGCCAUUCUUGGCACCACCUGUGGCUGUGCACCUCACCCUUGUCACAGGGAGCUGUGGCUCUCCUAGAGGGGUUUUUUACUUGUUGUUGGCUGUGCCCACAUGUCUCUGUGGAAAAAAGACUGACCUUGGCAGGAAAUGUUUCCUUGGCCUUUCCCAGGGAGGACAUGACGUACUGCAUGGAUAGACUGGAGCUGCAGCCAGGCUGAACCACGGUGCAAAAUGUCUCCAAAUCUCUCUCCAGACUUUAUCCUCAGGUUGUUUCCCAAUGAACUUCUACACUCUAAGGCAGAAAGAAACCUAUGGCAAAAUAAGCUUAUGGUAACAGCACCAUAAAUCCACUGUGUUUAUUUUAUUGGAAAAAUGGUUUUGGGGCAGAUCUUUCCACCUGAUCUUACAACAAGCCUGUGCCUGCCAUGUUCUUAAGGCAGGAACUCUUCCACCAGAUGUUUGCUGUGAGUGAUACUGUAAUGUUUUCUCAAAAGCACUUAACUGCAGUUCAUCAGGAAAAAUGAUUCCUUGGCUUCCUUCACAAAAACAUCGUGUCAAAAAUAGAUGUGAGAUCUCGUUAUUUAUAUUGCUCAAGUGCUGAAUGGCCUUGCCUGAGAACAGCCUGUUCCUGCAUCAGGAGCUAGGCUGGGAGAUGGCCUUCCCCUGAAGAACCAGCUCUUGAAGGAGACAAACGGAGCCCCCUAAAACUGCUGCACAGCAGUGAUGGUGAAAUUCCAGCGGCAAUCCUGAGCCAUUUCCCAGAGCAUCCCACCAUUUUCUGCUCAUUGCUCUCUCCUCCCCGUCCUUCCUCUCUGGCAGCCAGCAUGGGCCUGAGACAUGCUCCUGGUGAGGAGAGGUAGAAAAUUCCUGCUUUGCUUCAGUGUUUGUACUGAGAAAUGAGCUUUUUAGGGAAGCAGAUCUGGAGAUGUCCCGGGCUUUGCCUUGUGGCUCAGCUGAAGAUGAGCUGAUAGGCAACGAGGAUGACUAAAUUUAUUCAGUCAGUGGGUGGACACUCCUGUCUUGCAAAACCAUGAUGACUGAUCCACCAUAAAAAGUUGGGCUAUCAAACUACCGUUUAGCAAACACAAACUGAAAAAUCCUCUGGUGCAUCUGAAAAGAUGCCUCCCUGCAAGGUGUGAGUGUCCAGCUGCCCCACCUGCCCGUGGCAUUGCUUUAGUUACCACUUCAUAGGCAGGGUCCUCCUUCAGAGGCUGCUCCUUUAGGAGGUCAUCCACCCCAAAGCUCAGAAAGGAAGCCGGCCUGCAGGUUCAUUUUGUUUAAAUGUGUCUCUUUUAGUUUAUUUAUUCAGGGUAAAAAAAGGACAAAGGAAAAAAAAUUGAAAAUGUGCAGUUUUUCCAAAGCACUGGAACACGUUGCUAGUUUCUUUGUUAGUGCCCUUUUCAAAGUGCAGGUGCCACUCCACGAGAUGUCCACUCCACGAGAUGUCCACAAGACUGCUCUGGACAUCAAUUUCUUCCACCCAGGGUAAUUUUGCAGCUGUAAUCUCCGUGCCAUUUUUUUUCCCUAGGAAAUAUGUAGAAUUUGCAAAUAACAUUUCCUUGCCUGAAAGACAGGACGGUGCUUCUUUAGUAGCUGCUGCUCUUUGAAGUGUGCGCAAGGGCUUUGCUAUCAAGCAAGCUCUCUUUGGGAUUCUACUUCCCGGGGUGGAUCAGAGGCUAUUUCUUGGCAUGAGGUAAUUGGAGGCAAGGCAGUUUUGCAGCGGGAGGCAGGGGGGUGCUGGCUGAUGGCAGCCUUCUCCCCGCUCCAGCGCCGUGCCUGCUGACAAAGCCCUGCUUGCUGGAGGCACUUGUGCUUGCUGGGGCAAAUCAGGUCACCGGGAUCUGCAGCUGCCUGGUGGCUGAAGCAAUCAGCUGGAGCUCCAGGAGAUGGAGUGAGGACAGCGCUCACGGCGGGGAAGGCGGGCACCCUGCGAGGGCGAGGUGGCCAUUGCCUGCCCACCUGGCAGAGCCCCGGGCUGGGAGCUGCUCUGCUAGGCUGCUCAUUUGCAAAUAGAUGCUUGUGCUCAUCCAGGGGUGAGGAGAGAGUGGGAGAUAUCUUUGCAGCAAGAGGCUUGGCAGCAGAGUUUAAAGGUAGGUGAACUUUCACAGUGUCCCAAGCAGCCGCAGAUGGGGAACAGAGCCAUGCCAGGCUGUCACACCUCCCAUGGACAGGACCCGCAUUCCUCAAACCACUGAGCAUUUCAGAAACCCCUCUGAAUGACCAGGGUGGUGAUUGCAAGUCUUUUUACCCAUGAGUGUAAAUGCAAAUUGAGAUUUUAGUGGUACAGGAUAUAAGUGAAACUCGGAUGUGACGCACGGAGCACCUGAAAAGCCUGACCUAUUUAUCUCCCUCUGCAAUUCAGGUCAUGGUGAUCUCCAAAAGCCAAGCUCUUCUCAUUCAGACAUGUAGAGCUUGAAGCUGCUGCUUGUGCCAGGCACAGGACUAGGAUGGGUCUGUGUCCUGCACAGAGCUUGUUUUCUGGGAAGCAGUUUUUGGACAGACAUAGCUUCUCCAAAGAGACAGCAGUUCCCUUCCUCAUCUUUGUCAGCACAGCUGGAAGCCAAAACAGAUUAUUUCAUUUUUUCCAAGUCUUAGGUUCCUGUAAAGGAGAUUCAAGUGGAGCUUCACUUGGUGGGACUUCUGUCUCAUUUUAGGUUUCCCAUGGGGAAGCUGCUGGGUUUUUCCUGCUCCCCUACUCCCACCAAGGUUGUUGCUGCAGCCCUAGGGUGUGGCUGAUGGAUGGAGCUAUCAUUCCAGACCUGCAGUUCCUCAAAGGCUGCUGCUCAGGGGCAGAUGCGUGGCAAAACAAAAUUUUCCUUUGGAAAUAGUGGAAGGGAGACGGGCAAAAAUGGUGGCAGUGGCAUAGCAGGCUUUCCUGCUUGCACCUCUUCUUAUUCUCAAAGUUAAAAUCUUGCAGGAGGAGCAAUGCAGGACUGAGCAGUGCCUUAUCCUUUGCUGGUGGAGUCACACCUGUUGAGGAGGAGAACCACCAAAAAAGUGGUUUUCCUGGAGAAAAGAUGUCUUCCUGGCAGAUGGCUUGGCCAGCCAGCAGGGAUUACAAACCUCCCUGGGAACCUUUUCUUUAUGGCUAGUGAGAAGGUGAUAUUGCUUGUGACAGCGCAGAAAGAUUGGCUGAAAUAAAAUAAAGAGGUUUCCAUGGUGA